rnacentral:rRNA from 1 species
UACGGAGGGUGCAAGCGUUGUUCGGAAUUACUGGGCGUAAAGCGUGCGUAGGCGGUUCGUUAAGUCUGUUGUGAAAGCCCCGGGCUCAACCUGGGAAUGGCAAUGGAUACUGGCGAGCUAGAGUGUGUCAGAGGAUGGUGGAAUUCCCGGUGUAGCGGUGAAAUGCGUAGAGAUCGGGAGGAACAUCAGUGGCGAAGGCGGCCAUCUGGGACAACACUGACGCUGAGGCACGAAAGCGUGGGGAGCAAACAGG